rnacentral:rRNA from 1 species
AAAGCACUUUCAGUCGUGAGGAAGGUAGUGUAGUUAAUAGCUGCAUUAUUUGACGUUAGCGACAGAAGAAGCACCGGCUAACUCCGUGCCAGCAGCCGCGGUAAUACGGAGGGUGCGAGCGUUAAUCGGAAUUACUGGGCGUAAAGCGCAUGCAGGUGGUUUGUUAAGUCAGAUGUGAAAGACCCGGGGCGUCAACCUCGGAAUAGCAUUUGUAAACUAGGCAGACUAGAGUACUGUAGAGGGGGGUAGGAAUUUCAGGUGUAGCGGUGAAAUGCGUAGAGAUCUGAAGGAAUACCGGUGGCGAAGGCGGCCCCCUGGACAGAUACUGACACUCAGAUGCGAAAGCGUGGGGAGCAAACAGGAUUAGAUACCCUGGUAG